GUGAAGUAUCUGGAUGAGUGUUGAACUCCCCUGUGCUUACAGGCUGGUGGCAUCUAGAAAAACUUGGAUCAUGAGAAUAUACGCUUUCUCUCCAGUCUCCCAACUCUGUGGACAAGAUAGAAAUCCUGUGUGAUGAUUCUUUGUAAGAGCAGAACGAAGAUGCACGGCAUGAGAAGAUGCUUUCUUGCAACGAACACCAGCAAGACAAGUGUAACCCUAUCAUGUCAGUGAUCCACAUCUUCCCAUCUGAGAGCCAAAGUGUGUGGCCAAAAAAAGAGUGCGAUAGUUUCAAAUAAACCCGUUUUUUCCCCUCUAA